rnacentral:tRNA from 2 species
GCGGGCGUAGCUCAGUGGUAGAGCACAACCUUGCCAAGGUUGGGGUCGAGGGUUCGAACCCCUUCGCCCGCUCCA